rnacentral:lncRNA from 1 species
AAUAAAUGAAAUGUGUUUAAAUAUUUUAUAAUUGCAUAUUUAGUCUAAUUGUUAAGUGAUUUAGGAACGGUUCGUAGUGUGGAAAAAGUCCUGGGUUCGAUCUAGGGCUUUAGAAAAAUUUUGCAUUUUUUUUCUAAAUGAGCCAGAGCAAUAAGCCUGGUAAAAUCUGUCACAUGGAAACGCUUGGCCUAGUGGCAAAGGGCGUUGAUAGCAAGCA